UACGUAGGGCGCAAGCGCUGUCCGGAAUUAUUGGGCGUAAAGAGCUCGUAGGCGGCUUGUCACGUCGGAUGUGAAAGCCCGGGGCUUAACCCCGGGUCUGCAUUCGAUACGGGCAGGCUAGAGUGUGGUAGGGGAGAUCGGAAUUCCUGGUGUAGCGGUGAAAUGCGCAGAUAUCAGGAGGAACACCGGUGGCGAAGGCGGAUCUUUGGGCCAUUACUGACGCUGAGGAGCGAAAGCGUGGGGAGCGAACAGG
rnacentral:rRNA from 1 species